UCGAUCAUCAUCAUCAUGAUCAACCCAUCGCCGGCUCACUACAGAGCACGGGUAUCCUCUCAGAGUGAAAGUAGUUUUGGCCAUAGUAUACCAUGCUGGCCAUGUGUGGAUUGGCAAACUUCACACACCUUUGAGGACAUUAUAUAGA